rnacentral:pre_miRNA from 7 species
UUCCUAAGGCUGCGACCCUUUAAUACAGUUCUUCUGUAGGACCCCCGAUAUGGGGACUCCUACUCUAGUCCAGGGAUAGGGUGCACCCACGAACACACAAGAAUCC